rnacentral:rRNA from 1 species
GACGAACGCUGGCGGCGUGCCUAAUACAUGCAAGUCGAACGAAGCUGUUUUAACUGGUGCUUGCACCGACUUAAACAACUGAGUGGCGAACGGGUGAGUAACACGUGGGUAACCUGCCCCAAAGCGAGGGAUAACAUUUGGAAACAGAUGCUAAUACCGCAUAAUCACAGAAACCACAUGGUUUCUGUGUCAAAGAUGGUUUCGGCUAUCACUUUGGGAUGGACCCGCGGCGUAUUAGCUAGUUGGUAAGGUAAUGGCUUACCAAGGCAAUGAUACGUAGCCGAACUGAGAGGUUGAUCGGCCACAUUGGGACUGAGACACGGCCCAAACUCCUACGGGAGGCAGCAGUAGGGAAUCUUCCACAAUGGACGAAAGUCUGAUGGAGCAACGCCGCGUGAGUGAAGAAGGUUUUCGGAUCGUAAAACUCUGUUGUCAGAGAAGAACGUGUGCGAGAGUAACUGUUCGUGCAGUGACGGUAUCUGGCAGAAAGCCACGGCUAACUACGUGCCAGCCGCCGCCGUAA